CCAGAACCCUCAAACAACACUUAACAUCGUUUAGAAAGGGUCGGGCUGCUUAUGACAACCAGAUGAAGUGAUGAGGCGCGUCAUCCUCCAUCGGACGCUGGAUCCAAACAACAGCCGCAAAGGACGUUUGGGGGACCGAGGGAGAACACUGCCUUUGGAGUCAGUCAGAUCUAAGUUCUGAUGAACCUCUCAACUUGGUCGGACUGUCCUUCACCCCAUUUCCCCACUGGUAAAAUGGGAAACAUACCCUCAGAGGAGUGUGAAGCCCGAGUAGGAGCACCUAGCAGAGGGCUGAGGCACUCGGAGGCAGGAGACAUAUAUAGUAAGAAGUUGCCACAGCCAAUGUCAGGUUACUGCCCAUGUUCUCCGUUUUAGAAAACAUCCUACACAACAGUGGAACACGCAUACCCGUCCCCACACACACCCGUCAUCAGGAGGAAAAGGCUCGAAAGAUACGCAACAGCACCUGACACCAUCUGAUACACUUCCUUCCGCACUUGUAAGCUGCGAAGCCUUCCUCGAACCAGCAGGUGGACUGUGACAGGGGCGGGGACUGCCUCUGUACGCUCAGUUUAACCUGUGACCAAUGGCUGCCCCAUGGCUCCUACUAGCUGAGAUGGUAAAGAACACAAUUUAGGAAACUCAGCUGUAGAACAGAUUAGAAAAACCAAGGGGUAUAAAACAUAUACCCUGACUGGCUGGGAUGGCCAAAUAGGAAAGAAUAGCCCAUCGAUACGGCAAACACCACCGGUGGAUAAUUCUGGGGAGUUAAAAAAAAAAAAAAAAAAAAAAAGAUUGAAGCUCUAGGCACGUCAUAGAAGAAACUGGGACUUGAAAAAGGUUCAGCGGCUUGCCUAAAAUGAUGAAGACAGAGACGGGACUAGAACUCCUGUUUCCCAGACUUAUUUCAGUAUUCCUGAGUCACAGGUCUCAGUGCGGCCAGCUGCCUCACCCACAAUGAUCUUGCCAAUCAGCCCGCAGUCCCCAUGCCUUCUUCACUCUAGUGCACAGACUCCCCAACAGACUAUGCAUGCUCCGGGGGCACGAACCACAAGGAAAAUGAGUUAGAUGACAUCUACACCUAGCAAAACACAGGAGUACGACAGAUAUUUGGGAAACGAAUGGAUGACAGCACAUGUGUGGCAGUGAAGUCAGCAUAAGACUCUCUGACGGUCCAACAUUAAACCGACUACUGACUAAACCAAUACAUCACAAAAUGGCACUUGACAAGGCACGGAUGAAGAAUCUCCAAAGUAGUAUGUGACAGUGUUCCAGAGGGUCUGCUGCUAUCAGUCCCACCUACAACUAAGAAUAUGAGAUGGUGCCCCAUGUUAUGUUCCAGACAGGUACUGAGACCAUCAGCACAAGUCAGUUCAUGCUCAACGCUACGUGAAGGGGAAGGAUGGGGACGGCAGGGAGCUGUUGUGGCAAAGAAAGCAAAGCUGCUUCACCACCACCUCCACCACCACGCAACUCUGGAAGAGAAGAAAAAGGCGGCUUUCAGAGAGUCAGGAACUAAAGCUCAUAGUAGGACCCCCCCCCACCCCGCCAGGACCAAUGAGGGCAUGAGAUUAAAAACUGAAAGCUUUUACCAAGUGUAUAAUGUAUUUUUGCCAAUGAACAAUUCUAGAAUUCAUCGGAGGGUAAGAGAGAACCAAAUCACUAAUGAAAGAUUAAUAAUUUACAUGCAACUUGCACAAAAAGUGGAAGUUCUGCAAAGCACAGAAUGAUCUGGAGUUACAAUGGAAACUUGGCGGUAUCUAUUGGACCAUGAAUUUUAAAGGUUUGCUUAUUAGAAGCUGUCAUUUAUUCAAGGGACACCACACAAAUCAUUUAGCUUCCAAUACAUACUGUGGAAGCAUGGCAAAGCAAAAUUACUUUGAGGUACGAUCUGGUUGUUACCAGAUCAUAAUUAAUUUGACAGGUCACUUGAGAGGAGAAAAAAGUUUACUAGACUCCUAUAGCCCGUGUAUUUAUCAUCAGACUAAUGCAAGUAAGAACUCAUCACACAGCACUGGGAUGUAGCUCUUUCUGCUCCUCACAUUAGCAGAUACGUCUGGCACCAGAGAAGACAAGAAAUGCCAUGCAUUCAUCUCUUGUUGCUUGGAGCAGCAGUUCAUCAAGAGAAGCUGUCAUGUUUAAAGCAGGAUAUUCAGUUUCCUGAGUUGAGCUUGAGUACCUCUAACUCAUUUUAAUUGAAAAACACAUAAAAAAUUAACAGAAGAAAAAUCCUACCCAGAAUAAGAUAACUUGGUGCUUGCUCUUGAAACUGCAGAUUUAAUAUCAUUAAUGAUCACAUGUUGCAACAUUGUCUAAAGGAAUGAACUAGAAGAGUCACUCACUUUGUCAGCAUCUGGGAUUUUGUUUUCUUCUGAGGUAAGUUCAGGUGAAGGGGGAGACUGUGAGGUUUGUUGACCAUCAGUUUGUACCUGGGGCUGUGUUCCAGCUUCACUGUUGUCUUGCUGGAUAUUUUUCUGAAAUGAAAGCCCAGGCACAAAGGAUGUAGAAAGCAGGUGUACUUGUAUAAAUUUAAUAGGUUAUAGGGCACCAAAGACAGUACACUCAAUUUCUGAAGUCUUAAUAAGUGGGGGAAAAAAGAGACUGGAUAAAAGCAAAAUAAACACAUGAAAACUCCUUACAAAUCUUAAACCUGUAAGAAAUUCUUUCAACGAUAGCAGUUAAUAUAGUUAAAUAACCAAGUAGUAGGCAUUUUGAUUGAUGUGAUGAGUCAAGAACUCUCCUUUAAGAAACUUUCACCUAGCUUUGUACAGCUCUUAAGCUCUCAAAAGCACAAAAAGUAGGUUGACUCCAGGCCUCUCUCCCAAAAACAAGAUUCCAAAACUUAAAUUUCACCAGCAGCUGUGAGCAUCUCAACACAGCUCCAUUUCAAUGAAAUGAACAGUUGCAUAAAAUAGCCAACUAUCAGUCAUUCAGCGAUGCAUCAUUUCAGCUUACAGAUACCCAAGACCGCAUCCGUCCCCACCUUCUUUUUGGGAUCCAGCCAUUUCCACCUCAGAAGAUCUCAGGAUAAAGAAUAUACGCUACAUAACUUCAAGAUUCUAAGGCAGACACUGAAGUAUUCAAAAACAAGGCACUCAUGAUGUAAAUAUACCCAAAAGGCACUAAGAGAUUGAUACAACAGGUAUUAGAAUAAUGGUAUCUGUCACCAAAUGGCAAAGUAUAUGGCACUGGUCAUUUAACUCAUUAUUUUGAAAUUUUUCUAAAUGAGAAAAUGAAGGCUCAGAUGUAAAUGUUCUUUAAACGUUCUAGAAAUGGUAACAGUGUUAAUAGAGUUGUGUGGCCACAGGAUACCAUACUUUCUCACAUGUUAACUAAAACAUUACACCACCUGCCUCUUCACAUAAGCUAUUUGUGAUUAUUAUCCAAAAGUAAACUCUAACAGUUAAUCUAUCUUGAAGUUUCUUAAAAUUCUUCUGCACUCAUGCUAACAAAAGUCUAAAUUAAGAACGUGAACAAUAACAACUUUCUAUUCUCUAUGUAGAUACUUCUCUUCCCUCCUCCCACAAUACAGCAAGCCAUGUAAACAAAAGUGCAAACCAUGUAAAUAAAAGCAAGUCCUGAAAUACCAAAGUCAACUUCACAAUUUUUAAAAAUAAUCUUUAAUAUUUGGUAUAUAUUCCACCACAUUAAUUUUUUUAAGUCUUUUUUCUUAAUCAUCAGUCAACACCGCCUUCUCAAUAUGUGGUCGAUGCCUUUAAAAAAAUAAUUCAGAGAAACUUUAUGACUCUAGUUAUAUUGUAAUGUGCCAGUUCAAAUUAAGCUAUAUAGAAUUUAAUCAUAAGUCAUCAAAUUCUGGGCUGUAUAUUGUCAUCACCUAGCAAUUGCUAUUAUCACCCUUACCCAAAAUUCUAAUCAAAAUUAAGAAACAUGUAUUUUAACCUUUCCCUACCCUUCUCCUAUAGAAUUAAAUCUACUAUAUAUUCAAACACAAAGGGUGAUCCAGAAACUUACCUCGGUGUCUGAGUUUUCUGCUGGUCUUUGAUUUGGACACUCCAUGUCUGUUUCAACAGAAGAUACUUCAUUCUCCUCAGUUGGGACUUUCUCCACCAUAGAUGCUGUAGAGAUGGUGAAAAUGCCAUGGGUAUUGACUCGCACUUUCACUUUCACUCUAGAUUUUUCUCCAUCUUUCUGCGCAGAAACAUUCUGAACUACGAAGCGGCCUGGAACAAAAAGAAAUUGGCAAUUUUAGAAGUGCAUCUAAAUCUCCAUAAAGAAGUCAAAGGCCUGAAAAUACAGCUUGAAAGUAUGCUAGUCCUAAAUCUCCCCAAUUUUCUCUACCAACUGAAUUAAGAAUCUUUUUCACUACAAACAUAAACUCAGUUAUAUGGUAAACUUCAA